rnacentral:lncRNA from 1 species
CUGGUGCAGGGCUCUGUGCUGUGCCUGCUGUGCAAAGUGACAGCUCACCUGCCCUGGCUCCUCUGGGCUGCAGGUUUGUCCUGUCUGCCUGCAGACCUCCUUCUCUCCUGGGGAGAGAUUGGAGCAACAGCACUGAGAAUGCUGUCAGCACUUUGCUGAGCAAGGGCUUUACAAGGAGCUUCAGGAUAACGAAGGCAGGAGCAGUCUGAGAGGACAAAACCUAUCAAUGCCCCAGAAAUUCCCGAGGAAAUGAGCUUGACAUCCUUCCACAUUGGGAAGGAAUCAUGCAGUCACAAAUGCCACCAGGCAACUUCUGUGGUUGGACCCUCCUGUCUGUCCCAUAAAAUCUCAAGGUUCAACAGUGACAGUGACCUUCCUUUAAAGGGCUGCAGCAAACAUUGAAGACUUUCUCUCAAUUCACUCUACUCAGAAAACCAUCUGUUAAGUCUGUUAUGAUUUUGGGGUGAGGAUGGAAAAGUAGAGCUUAAAGUAUGGCUGUUCUGUUUAAAAAAAAAAUAAAAUCUGUCUUUUCUGA